UACGAAGGGGGCGAGCGUUGUUCGGAUUUACUGGGCGUAAAGGGCGCGCAGGCGGCUUUGUUUGUCAGGCGUGAAAGCCCCGGGCUUAACCUGGGAACUGCGUUUGAUACGGCAGGGCUAGAGUUCGGGAGAGGAGAGUGGAAUUCCCAGUGUAGAGGUGAAAUUCGUAGAUAUUGGGAAGAACACCGGUGGCGAAGGCGGCUCACUGGCUCAUUACUGACGCUCAGGCGCGAUAGCGUGGGGAUCAAACAGG
rnacentral:rRNA from 1 species